CGCUAGCAUGCGAGUCGAGAGGGUUCGGCCCUCGGCAGACUGCUCAGUAACACGUGGAGAACUUGCCCUAGGCUGGAGGAUAAUCUCGGGAAACUGAGGAUAAUACUCCAUAGCCCACGCGUCCUGGAACGGUGUGUGGGUGAAAGCUCCGGCGGCCUAGGAUAGCUCUGCGGCCUAUCAGGUUGUAGCGAGGGUAACGUCCUCGCUAGCCUACGACGGGUAUGGGUGUUGGGAGACAUCGCCCAGAGAUGGAUUCUGAGACACGAAUCCAGGCCCUACGGGGCGCAGCAGGCGCGAAAACUGCACAAUGUGGGAAACCACGAUGCGGGAAACCCAAGUGCCAGCACUAUGUGUUGGCUGUCCUCGACUGUUUGUAGGUCGGGAAGAAAGAGCUGGGUAAGACGGGUGCCAGCCGCCGCGGUAAUACCCGCAGCUCAAGUGGUGGUCAUUAUUAUUGGGCCUAAAGCGUCCGUAGCUGGUUUGUUAAAUGCCUGGGUAAAUCGAUGCGCUCAACGCAUCGAAUUCCGGGUAGACUGGCAAACUCGAGACCGGGAGAGGUGUAGGCUACUCGAGGGGUAGGGGUAAAAUCCUGUAAUCCUUCGGGGAGGACCAGUGGCGAAGGCGCUACACUAGAACGGCUCUGACAGUGAGGGACGAAGCCCUGGGGCGCAAACCGGAUUAGAUACCCGGGUAGUCCAGGGUGUAAACGCUGCAGACUUGGUGUCGGUGAUCCUACGAGGGUUGCCGGUGCCGUAGAGAAGUUGUUUAGUCUGCCGCCUGGGGAGUACGGUCGCAAGACUGAAACUUAAAGGAAUUGGCGGGGGAGCACCGCAACGCGUGGAGUGUGCGGUUU
rnacentral:rRNA from 1 species